AGUGAACGCUGGCGGUAGGCCUAACACAUGCAAGUCGAACGGCAGCACAGUAAGAGCUUGCUCUUACGGGUGGCGAGUGGCGGACGGGUGAGGAAUACAUCGGAAUCUACUUUUUCGUGGGGGAUAACGUAGGGAAACUUACGCUAAUACCGCAUACGACCUACGGGUGAAAGCAGGGGAUCUUCGGACCUUGCGCGAAUGAAUGAGCCGAUGUCGGAUUAGCUAGUUGGCGGGGUAAAGGCCCACCAAGGCGACGAUCCGUAGCUGGUCUGAGAGGAUGAUCGGCCACCCGGGAACGUGGACACGGUCCAGACUCCUACGGGAGGCAGCAGUGGGGAAUGUUGGACAAUGGGGGCAAGCCUGACCCAGCCAGACCGCGUGGGUGAAGAAGGCCUUCGGGUUGUAAAGCCCGUUUGUUGGGAAAGAAAAGCAUCAGGUUGAUACGCCGCUGUUGUGACGGUACCCAAAGAAUAAGCACCGGCUAACUACGUG
rnacentral:rRNA from 1 species